rnacentral:rRNA from 1 species
GACGAACGCCGGCGGCGUGCCUAAUACAUGCAAGUUGAGCGAUGAAGAUUGGUGCUUGCACCAAUUUGAAGAGCAGCGAAUGGGUGAGUAACGCGUGGGGAAUCUGCCUUUGAGCGGGGGACAACAUUUGGAAACGAAUGCUAAUACCGCAUAACAACUUUAAACAUAAGUUUUAAGUUUGAAAGAUGCAAUUGCAUCACUCAAAGAUGAUCCCGCGUUGUAUUAGCUAGUUGGUGAGGUAAAGGCUCACCAAGGCGAUGAUACAUAGCCGACCUGAGAGGGUGAUCGGCCACAUUGGGACUGAGACACGGCCCAAACUCCUACAGGAGGCAGCAGUAGGGAAUCUUCGGCAAUGGACGAAAGUCUGACCGAGCAACGCCGCGUGAGUGAAGAAGGUUUUCGGAUCGUAAAACUCUGUUGGUAGAGAAGAACGUUGGUGAGAGUGGAAAGCUCAUCAAGUGACGGUAACUACCCAGAAAGGGACGGCUAACUACGUG